GAUGAACGCUGGCGGCGUGCCUAAUACAUGCAAGUAGAACGCUGAAGCUUGGUGCUUGCACCGAGCGGAUGAGUUGCGAACGGGUGAGUAACGCGUAGGUAACCUGCCUGGUAGCGGGGGAUAACUAUUGGAAACGAUAGCUAAUACCGCAUAACAGUAGAUAUUGCAUGAUAUCUGCUUGAAAGGUGCAAAUGCAUCACUACCAGAUGGACCUGCGUUGUAUUAGCUAGUUGGUGAGGUAACGGCUCACCAAGGCGACGAUACAUAGCCGACCUGAGAGGGUGAUCGGCCACACUGGGACUGAGACACGGCCCAGACUCCUACGGGAGGCAGCAGUAGGGAAUCUUCGGCAAUGGGGGGAACCCUGACCGAGCAACGCCGCGUGAGUGAAGAAGGGUGUCGGAUCGUAAAGCUCUGUUGUAAGAGAAGAACGAGUGUGAGAGUGGAAAGUUCACACUGUGACGGUAGCUUACCAGAAAGGGACGGCUAACUACGUG
rnacentral:rRNA from 1 species